rnacentral:rRNA from 1 species
AGUGAACGCUGGCGGCGUGCUUAACACAUGCAAGUCGAACGAGAACGGGUUAUAGCUUGCUAUAAUUGUCAGCUAAGUGGCGCACGGGUGAGUAAUGUAUAGGUAAUAUGCCUCUUACUAAGGGAUAACAAAUGGAAACGUUUGCUAAUACCUUAUACUCCUUAUUAACUAAAGUUGGUAAGGGAAAGAUUUAUUGGUAAGAGAUUGGCCUGUAUUGUAUCAGUUAGUUGGUGGGGUAAUGGCCUACCAAGACUAUGACGCAUAACUGGUUUGAGAGGAUGAUCAGUCACACUGGAACUGAGACACGGUCCAGACUCCUACGGGAGGCAGCAGUGGGGAAUAUUGCACAAUGGACGAAAGUCUGAUGCAGCAACGCCGCGUGGAGGAUGACACAUUUCGGUGCGUAAACUCCUUUUUAUAUAAGAAGAUAAUGACGGUAUUAUAUGAAUAAGCACCGGCUAACUCCGUGCCAGCAGCCGCGGU